rnacentral:rRNA from 1 species
CCGCCGGCGGCCUACUUAACUCUUGUUUUUACUGAGUAUCUUCUGAGUAAAGCUUCUAAAUGAAUCAAAACUUUCAACAACGGAUCUCUUGGUUCUGGCAUCGAUGAAGAACGCAGCGAAAUGCGAUAAGUAAUGUGAAUUGCAGAAUUCAGUGAAUCAUCGAAUCUUUGAACGCACAUUGCGCCCUCUGGUAUUCCAGAGGGCAUGCCUGUUCGAGCGUCAUUUCAACCCUCAAGCUUAGCUUGGUGUUGGGGCAUUACCUGACUGUUUCUACAGGAGGGUAAGCCCUGAAAUUCAGUGGCGAGCUCGCCAGGACUCCGAGCGCAGUAGUGUAAACCUCGCUUUGGAUCGUACUGGCGCGGCCCUGCCGU